GCAUGCCUACAUCAUAGCAUUAAUGCAUUGAAUCCCAUUAUAACUCCGCAGUUAAGCGUGCUCACGCUAGAGUAGUCCUAGGAUGGGUGACCACCCGGGAAGUCCUAGUGCUUUACAUGCC
rfam:Picea glauca, whole genome shotgun sequence.